rnacentral:rRNA from 1 species
AUUGAACGCUGGCGGCAUGCCUUACACAUGCAAGUCGAACGGUAACAGGUCUUCGGAUGCUGACGAGUGGCGAACGGGUGAGUAAUACAUCGGAACGUGCCUAGUAGUGGGGGAUAACUACUCGAAAGAGUGGCUAAUACCGCAUGAGAUCUACGGAUGAAAGCAGGGGAUCGCAAGACCUUGUGCUACUAGAGCGGCCGAUGGCAGAUUAGGGAGUUGGUGGGAUAAAAGCUUACCAAGCCGACGAUCUGUAGCUGGUCUGAGAGGACGAUCAGCCACACUGGGACUGAGACGCGGACCAGACUCCUACGGGAGGCAGCAGUGGGGAAUUUUGGACAAUGGGCGCAAGCCUGAUCCAGCAAUGCCGCGUGCAGGAUGAAGGCCUUCGGGUUGUAAACUGCUUUUGUACGGAACGAAAAGCCCUGGGUUAAUACCCUGGGGUCAUGACGGUACCGUAAGAAUAAGCACCGGCUAACUACGUGCCAGCCGCCGCCGUAACAC